AGAGUUUGAUCCUGGCUCAGAACGAACGCUGGCGGCGCGCCUAACACAUGCAAGUCCGACGUGAAAGGGGAGCAAUCCCCCGGUAGGGUGGCAAACGGGUGAGUAAGACAUGGGUGAUCUGCCCUGGAGAUGGGGAUAUCCCUCCGAAAGGGGGGGCAAUACCGAAUAGUAUCCGGUUCCGUGAAGGGGACCGGGGAAAGGGAGGCCUCUGGUACAAGCUUCCGCUCCUGGAUGAGCCCAUGGCCCAUCAGCUAGUUGGUAGGGUAAAGGCCUACCAAGGCGACGACGGGUAGCUGGUCUGAGAGGACAACCAGCCACACUGGCACUGAGACACGGGCCAGACUCCUACGGGAGGCAGCAGUGAGGAAUAUUGCGCAAUGGGGGCAACCCUGACGCAGCAACGCCGCGUGUGGGAAGAAGGCUUUCGGGUUGUAAACCACUUUUGCCCGGGACGAAAGGGAGUGCCCGAAUACGGCAGUCCGAUGACGGUACCGGGAGAAUAAGCCACGGCUAACUCUGUGCCAGCAGCCGCGGUAAGACAGAGGUGGCAAGCGUUGUUCGGAGUUACUGGGCGUAAAGAGUCUGUAGGUGGUCUGUCAAGUCUUUGGUGAAAGGCCGUGGCUUAACCAUGGGAAUGCCAAAGAGACUGGCAGACUGGAGGCUGGGAGAGGGAAGCGGAAUUUCUGGUGUAGCGGUGAAAUGCGUAGAUAUCAGAAGGAAGGCCGGUGGCGAAGGCGGCUUCCUGGAACAGACCUGACACUGAGAGACGAAAGCGUGGGGAGCAAACAGGAUUAGAUACCCUGGUAGUCCACGCCCUAAACGAUGGGUACUAAGUGUGGGAGGGUUAAACC
rnacentral:rRNA from 1 species